UACGAAGGGGGCUAGCGUUGCUCGGAAUCACUGGGCGUAAAGGGUGCGUAGGCGGGUUUUUAAGUCAGAGGUGAAAUCCUGGAGCUCAACUCCAGAACUGCCUUUGAUACUGGGAAUCUUGAGUAUGGAAGAGGUGAGUGGAACUGCGAGUGUAGAGGUGAAAUUCGUAGAUAUUCGCAAGAACACCAGUGGCGAAGGCGGCUCACUGGUCCAUAACUGACGCUGAAGCACGAAAGCGUGGGGAGCAAACAGG
rnacentral:rRNA from 1 species